rnacentral:lncRNA from 1 species
CCUCAAGGCCUUGGGCAGUGUGGAUGGUUGGCUUGAGGUUGGCUGGACCUGUGUUCCUCAGUGUUUUCCCUGGCCAGCAAUGGACAUUUCCGGGCAGUGACCAGAACUGUCAGAGUGACUGAGAGAAGAUAUCUCAUCAGCAAGAAGAGCUAACAGUGAGGUCUUCACAGACAAUAUGAAUCCGAGCCUAGAAAAGUCCUGUAUGAUCUUGAAUAAAGUCCUGACAUCUUUAAACAUGCUUCCACCAUUUUGCUGUUGGUUGGAAACAUGGUUUAGUUGACUGCUGGCCAAUCCAGAAGAAAACUUCAGAGAGAAAAUGUUGGAUCCCUGAGGAAAAGGAGCACAGACCAUCAAUGGCCAUUGGAAAGGUGACAAAUGGA